GGAGAUGUGUCUGAGCGGUCGAAGGUGCACGACUCGAAAUCGUGUGUGGGAAACCACCGGAGGUUCAAAUCCUCUCAUCUCCG
rnacentral:tRNA from 1 species